rnacentral:ncRNA from 1 species
CUUAUCGAGAGUGGCUGAGGGACUGGCCCGAUGACGCCCGGCAACCUUGACAGCAAGGUGCUAAAUCCUGCGGAUGUUCCGAAAGAUAAGG